rnacentral:rRNA from 1 species
GACGAACGCUGGCGGCGUGCUUAACACAUGCAAGUCGAACGGAAAGGCCCUGCUUGCAGGGUACUCGAGUGGCGAACGGGUGAGUAACACGUGGGUGAUCUGCCCUGCACUUCGGGAUAAGCCUGGGAAACUGGGUCUAAUACCGGAUAGGAGCCAUUUUUAGUGUGAUGGUUGGAAAGUUUUUUCGGUGUAGGAUGAGCUCGCGGCCUAUCGGCUUGUUGGUGGGGUAAUGGCCUACCAAGGCGGCGACGGGUAGCCGGCCUGAGAGGGUGGACGGCCAUAUUGGGUCUGAGAGACGGCCCAGACUGCGACGGGAGGGAGAAGUGGGGAAGAUUGCACAAUGGGCGCAAGCCGGAUGCAGCGACGCCGCGUGGGGGAUGACGGCCUUCGGGUUGUAAACUCCUUUCGCAAGGGACGAAGCUUGUUGUGACGGUACCUAGAUAAGAAGCACCGGCUAACUACGUG